UACGCGAGCUGGGUUCAGAACGUCGUGAGACAGUUCGGUCCCUAUCCUCCGCAGCCGAAGGUGUAUUGAGGAAGGCUGUCCCUAGUACGAGAGGACCGGGACGGACGGAGCUCUGGUGUGUCUGUUGUCCUGCCAAGGGCACGGCAGAUUAGCCACCUCCGGAAGGGAUAACUGCUGAAAGCAUCUAAGUAGGAAACCCGUUCCAAGAUGAGUACACCCAUGCGGUUAACGCAGUAAGGCCCGUGACUAGACCAUCACGUUGAUAGGCCGGAAGUGUAAGCACGGCAACGUGUUGAGCUGACCGGUACUAAUCGGCCGAGGGCUUGGUUGA
rnacentral:rRNA from 1 species